UGGUUCUUGCCAAAGAAACGGUCCCAGGCGUCGACAGAUGUCCAUCCAUUGGCUUUGCAAUAAUCUGCCAACCUGCAGUUUAAUGCAAUAGCCCUGGACAUCCAAAUGGCACCAACCCGCCGCUUUGGCAGAACCCCACACACCACAGGAACCUCGCCUUUGGACGUAACUCUUCGAAGAGCCUCCGUGUAGCGACGCAGAAGCUGCUCACUACCUAACCUGCCUAUGUCGUUCCCUCCCACGCUCAGGCAGACGAUGGGUUUGGCUCCCUCGCCUGACAUGCACGACUCUACCCUGUCGCUGACAUCCCUAAUCCCCGCUCCAGGAAAACACACCCUGGUCCUACGUGUCCUAUCUUUAGCACAGAAGGCCCUCUCUAACAACCUGACCUGGCUAUCCCCAACAACCAAAAUUUUACCUCUGGGCAGGGAUUUGUCAUCUGCCCUCCUCUCCUUCACCUCCUGCUCCUUCACUCCCUCCCUCAGCUCAGUGAGAGCCUGGAAGGAGUUGCGGCACUCGAAUAUGGGGAGGCGGUGGCUGAAUAGAUAGCGUGAUGGCCCCGCGUUCAGGAGGACGCGAGUUCAAUCCCCGACCGGUGCCACCAAGCUGGGAUUUUUCAGCCGCCGCCGAGUGGCUUAAAACUACCCACAUGCUGUCCAGAAGACCACUUAUCAACCCGGACUCUAGAUUCUAGGAUUAAAGAUGAGCUCCGGGAGGGCAGCAUGAGCCAACGCAAGAUGGCGCCACUAUAAACACUCGCCUGCGCCAGAACGGGCUGGGGCGACCAUCAGGCCCCACCGGGAAGAAGCCUUGGACCGACCAUCAGGAAUCCAGGAUCCACCGGGAAGAAGCCUACCGGCGCAACAGGCCACGACGUAAAAAAAUAAAAAAAUAAAUAAAAAUAAAAAUAAAAACACCCGCAGGAUUGUUCCUCUUCAACCUUAAACAGCUGUCAUGGCUCUUGACUACCUGCCAGCCCCCAUCUUGUGACGGUGUACUAUGUACAUCGCCUGUCUGAGGACCUGAUGAACGAAGGACUCGAUUUUCCUUCCUCAUGGCCUCCACAGUCCUCUCCAACUCUUCAAUUCUCUCCAAGAGAGAAUUUACUAACUCAACUGUACCCCCACCGGCCCCGCCUCCUCCCCUCACUGCACCACUGUAACUCAUCCCACUAGACAUGGUCAACCCAAGAGCUAGCCAGAGCACGUCCUAUCACCUUGAGGACCUGAGGUAUACUUCCGUAUACUUGCAGCGGUUCAUCAAGCAGUGAAUGGGUACCGGGUGUUAGACGGGGGCUGUGUGAUGUAAAUGGGAGGGAGGGGGGUCACAGGUGUGAUGGAAAGUUAAUUCCAGCCGCUCCCGAAGAUUGGUGUAUUUGAAACUCGAAGCGAGGUACACUGCGCACUGUCUGGCGAUCACGAAUCUAGCAUCUUAGGGGAGGCGGUGGCUGAACGGAUAGCGAGACGGCCCCGCGUUCAGGAGGACGCGAAUUCAAUCCCCGACCGGUGCCACCAAGCUGGGAUUUUUCAGCCGCCGCCGAGUGGCUUAAAACUACCCACAUGCUGUCCAGAAGACCACCUAUCAACCCGGACUCUAGAUUCUAGGAUUAAAGAUGAGUUCCGGGAGGGCAGCAUGAGCCAAUGCAAGAUGGCGCCACUAUAAACACUCGCCUGCGCCAGAACGGGCUGGGCCGACCAUCAGGCCCCACCGGGAAGAAGCCUUGGACCGACCAUCAGGAAUUCAGGAUCCAGCGGGAAGAAGCCUACCGGUGCAAUAGGCCAAGACGUAAAAAAAAAAAAAAAAAAAAUACCUCACACUCUGUUAGGUGGACAGCUGGAGACGGAUGCAGGCAUACCAGGCCCGUAAUUUUGGCAGAGUUUUUUUGGGGGAUAUAUAGAGGACAUCAUAGGUUCGAGGUGGGGGGGAGGACUGUACGUCGAGUAUGCACAAGUGGGGGAAUUAAAAAAAAAAAAAAAAAGUAUGUAUUUGGAUCAUUUUCAGGCCGAUAUAGAAAACAUAGGGGCUAUGGCCCCCCUAGCCCCCCUCCCAAGAAAUUAGAGCCCCGCAUACAUUGAUCCGUUCUGUAACGGUGGAAAGCUUGGUUGCGUGUAGCUCAGACAGGGUCUUGGUGGGCGAACAAGGCGUGGAGGGAAACACUCGCUGCUUUAGGUGAGUAUAUUCUUAACCUAAAAUACAGGGGGAGUUGGAGAGAGCCGAGACAGUAGGUCUGUAUCAGUCGGGCUCUCUGGAAGGAGUGAAGUUAGAGACUUGGAAAAUAAUGAAAUUACAACUGGUCACAUACGUCAAGGUGACCGCUGAGGUGACGAGGUGUUUUUUUACACAUACCGAGAACAAACGGACGAUAAACACUAACGGAUGACAUUCCUAUAAAGGUGGCGUGAUCUAUCUGCAGUGGGUAUUUUCCACUGUUACAUGCAUUCCUAAUCCAUGGUGAUAUAUAAUAAUAAUAAUAAUACACUCAUAUAAUUACAACUACUAUAACAGUGCCUCGUUGCUCAUUAGCUAGUGAAUCGGUACCCCAAGCCCAAGGGGUACCGGGCGUUAAACAGGGAAUCUGGUCGGCUGCUUGACUGGAUGUUUGACUUUCUGACGGGUAGAAUCAUGCAAGUGUCAAUAUCGGGUGCCUCUAGCUCAUGUAGACUGAUCCGUAGUGGAGUUUCACAAGGUUCUGUACUGGGCCCACUCUUGUUCCUUAUAUAUGUCAACCACCGACCUUCACAUGUUUAUUCCAAGUGUAAAUUCUUUGCGGACGACUUCAAGCUGUAUAUGAAGAUACGGCACAAUGCCACUUACCCUUUGGCUGAAGAUCUCAGUUCUCUCCAAAGAGAUAUUAAUAGUGUCUCCAGGGUGGCUAGCUCGUGGGGGCUAAACUUUAACCCAUCCAAGUGUGUUGUGCUACGAUACCAGCGUGGCUCUACUGACUGGACAGCGGUGGGCUCUCUUCAGCACUACCACCUAUAGAUAACUCUGAUCUGUCCUUGGCUGACACCCAUAGAGACCUGGGAGUUCUAGUCGACAACACCCUCAAGUUUCAUGCACAUAUAAGAACAACAGUUAAUAAAGCUGCAGGAUUAGCCAAUAACAUACUCAUAUCUACUCGCUGUCGCUCCAGUGACUUUAUGUUGGCCAUCCUCAAGUCCCACAUAAGACCUUUACUAGAGUUUGGGUCAACAGUUUGGAACACUGGAUACCUGGGUGACCUGCGGCUGCUGGAGUCAGUGCAGCGCCGCUGGACCAAGCACAUAGUUCAAAUGGCCUGGCUGAACUAAGUUAUGCUGAUCGUCUUAAGGCUAUAUCUUAGGUCUUAUACUCUGUAUAAGGCAGACUUUUGAGAGCAGACCUCAUUAAAUGUUGGAAGAUCUUUCAUGAUCAGUGUGCCAUUUCUCCGUCUGAUCUAUUUACUAUCUCCCCAGUCACUACUACCAGAGGCCACAGAUUCAAAUUAGCCAAACCACACACCUCCACUGAGUGUAGAUGCAGAUUCUUCAGUGUUAGGUGCAUUGAUCACUGGAACUCCCUCCCAGACAGCGUUGUUAGCACUGGUACAAUCCAGGCAUUUAAAAGGGGCCUUCACCUCUCCCUUGAACAGUCACUGUUCUCAUACACGGAAUAAUUACCUGCCUCUGUCAAAACUCAUCCCAUUAUUAACAUUGUUCUGUUACAAACUCAUAUCUAUAUACACCUUGCUUAACACCUAGCUCCACAUAGCACACAAUUCCGCCUAUUAUUUUUGUACAAAUCAUAAUGUCCUUAAUUGAACAGAUGGGCUGGCGUGCCAGCAGUUGCGGGCUAUCCUUCUACGUACCACCGAUAUGUGAACCAUGACAGUAAGUUGGGGUAGCCAACCAGGUGAGUAAACCCAGCUGCAAUCGAAGAUCCAUGAAUGUGUAGUGAAUGUAUAGCUCAAAACUUAAGACUAGGGGGGUACUUGUGGUCGCAGUGUCCAGCAUGUAUACAAAUCAUGAUGAAUGACACACACACACACACACACACACACACGAAUAGAGGGGCGGGGCCCAACGUCUGUUACGUCACGCUACAUGGCGGGGCGUGGGGGAGCAAUGAGCCUCCUCCUUCCCGCCCUCCGCUCACACGCAUUCACACACACAGCAUGUCUGACGAACAGCCCGCCACCCCACUCAAGGCCGAGGCCCCCGCCUGCCCCGAGACCAACACGGCCCUGCAGCACUGCUGGGUGAUGCUUUCUACAAGGAAGGGUGGCAGGCCCCGUCCAACCAAUGCAGAUCAGGGAUUGGACUGACUGCUAUCCACUGGUAAGAACAAAGAACUCCUGAAGAUGAACUUACCAACCAGCCCAAGAGAGAUCAACAUAACGUUUUUAAAUCAUAAUGAAUUACCCAUAGCAGACCCAAAGAACUUUCUAAUACCAAGUAAAAAAUACAGGUCUUUGGGAGUAAUUACAGAAAUUAGUUAAACA